GAUGAACGCUGGCGGCGUGCUUAACACAUGCAAGUCGAACGAAGAUGCCGGAGUGCUUGCACUUUGGCAGACUGAGUGGCGGACGGGUGAGUAACGCGUGGGUAACCUGCCUUAUACAGGGGGAUAACAGUUGGAAACGACUGCUAAUACCGCAUAAGCGCACGGUAUCGCAUGAUACAGUGUGAAAAACUCCGGUGGUAUAAGAUGGACCCGCGUCUGAUUAGCUAGUUGGUGAGGUAACGGCCCACCAAGGCGACGAUCAGUAGCCGGCCUGAGAGGGUGAACGGCCACAUUGGGACUGAGACACGGCCCAAAACUCCUACGGGAGGCAGCAGUGGGGAAUAGUUGCACAAUGGGGAAACCGUCGAUGCAGCGACGCCGCGUGAGUGAUGAAG
rnacentral:rRNA from 1 species